CUGCCUUUUGCCCUGCCCACUCUCCUAGAACUCUUUCCUGCCCACUCUCCUGCAUGAGGCGAGGGAGGCAGUGCAGCCGUCCUGCAACCAUGAGAGAUGGGGUCUCGCUAUGCCACCCAGGCUGGAGUGCAGUGGCUCUUCACAGGGACUAUCUCACUACGGAUCAGCACAUCAGUUUUGACCUGCUCCAUUUCUGACCUGGGCAGAUUCGCUCCUCCUUAGGCCACCUGGUGGUGCCCCACUCCUGGAAGGUCAUCAUAUUCAUGCUGAACUUAGUACAGACACCUGAUCGACAUAGGGCGCUACAGCUCAGAAGUCCUGGGCUCGGGCUCUCCUCCCACCUAAGCCGCCCAACUAUCUGGGACUACAGAUGUGUGCUACCACCCCCAGCUAAUUUUUAAAAUAUUUUUGUAGAGGCAGUGUCUCACUAUGUUGCCCAGGCCCACUUUCAACUCCUGGGCUCAUGCGAUCCUCCCAUCUCAGCCUCUUAAGUAGCUGGGAC
rnacentral:lncRNA from 1 species